rnacentral:rRNA from 1 species
AUUGAACGCUGGCGGCAGGCCUAACACAUGCAAGUCGAACGAGUGGCGGACGGGUGAGUAAUGUCUGGGAAACUGCCUGAUGGAGGGGGAUAACUACUGGAAAAGGUAGCUAAUACCGCAUAACAUCAGAUGUGCCCAGAUGGGAUUAGCUAGUUGGGGGGGUAACGGCUCACCAAGGCGACGAUCCCUAGCUGGUCUGAGAGGAUGACCAUCCACACGGGAACUGAGACACGGGCCAGACUCCUACGUGAGGCAGAAGUGGGUAAUAGUGCACAAUGGGCGCAAGCCUGAUGCAGCCAUGCCGCGUGUAUGAAGAAGGCCUUCGGGUUGUAAAGUACUUGCAGCGGGGAGGCGUUACCCGCAGAAGAAGCACCGGCUAACUCCGUGCCAGCAGCCGCGGUAAUUC